rnacentral:rRNA from 1 species
UACGGGGGGGGCAAGCGUUGUUCGGAAUUAUUGGGCCUAAAGCAUCCGUAGCCGGUUUUACAAGUCCUCCGUUAAAUCCAGCUGCUUAACAGAUGGGCUGCGGAGGAUACUAUAAGACUAGGAGGCAGGAGAGGCAAGCGGUACUCAGUGGGUAGGGGUAAAAUCCGUUGAUCCAUUGAAGACCACCAGUGGCGAAGGCGGCUUGCCAGAAUGCGCUCGACGGUGAGGGAUGAAAGCUGGGGGAGCAAACCGG